CACGCAAAGAGCAGCUUACCUGCAGGACCAGGGCUGCCAACUUGAAGACCGUCUCGCUUUCGACUUCGAUCUGCCCCUGUGCAGGGAAAGAGCAGAAGGCAGGUACCUGAUCCCGCACGCUUCCAAACACAAUUACAAACUUGCCAUGAACCAGGGAAAGGAGGGUGAACCAGAGGAAUUUAUGGCUUUAAGCAUGCCAUUUCCCUGGGGCAGAGACCUCAGCUCUUUGCUUUGAUGGUGCCUGGAGAUCUCACAGUUCCUGCAAGUACACAUGCAAUGCUCAAAGAGACUCCAUGGACUUCUAUCCUCCAAAUCUCCAUUCUUGACCCCCCUCCAAUAUCAGGCAGAGUCCUGUCCUGAAAGUCAGUGACUUCAAAGCUGCAUUUGACAAUAAAUGCUAAAAAUC